GACGAACGCUGGCGGCGUGCUUAACACAUGCAAGUCGAACGAGAAUCUGCGGAAAGAGGAUUCGUCCAAUAGAAGCAGAGGACAGUGGCGGACGGGUGAGUAACGCGUGAGGAACCUGCCUUUCAGAGGGGGACAACAGUUGGAAACGACUGCUAAUACCGCAUGACACAUUGAGGUCGCAUGGCCUUAAUGUCAAAGAUUUAUCGCUGAAAGAUGGCCUCUAUUUAUAAGCUAUCGCUAAAGGAUGGGCCUGCGUCUGAUUAGCUAGUUGGUGGGGUAACGGCCUACCAAGGCGAUGAUCAGUAGCCGGUCUGAGAGGAUGAACGGCCACAUUGGGACUGAGACACGGCCCAGACUCCUACGGGAGGCAGCAGUGGGGAAUCUUCCGCAAUGGGCGAAAGCCUGACGGAGCAAUGCCGCGUGAGUGAUGAAGGAAUUCGUCGUAAAGCUCUUUGUUUAUGACGAAUG
rnacentral:rRNA from 1 species